rnacentral:rRNA from 1 species
UAGGGCGGACGGCUCAUAACACGUGGGUAAUCUACCCUCGGGUCGGGGAUAACCCCGGGAAACUGGGGCUAAUACCCGAUAGGGGGAGAGGUCUGGAAGGAUCCUCCCCCGAAAGCUCCGGCGCCCGAAGAUUAACCUGGGGCCGAUUAGGUUUUUGGUGGUGUAACGGACCACCAAGCCUGCGAUCGGUACGGGUAGUGGGAGCUGUCGCCCGGAGAUGGGGGCUGAGACACGGCCCCAGGCCCUACGGGGCGCAGCAGGCGCGAAAACUCCGCAAUGCCCGCAAGGGCGACGGGGGGACCCCGAGUGCCCCUGCACUGCAGGGGCUUUUGCGGAGUGUAAACAGCUCCGCGAAUAAAGGCUGGGCAAGAACGGUGCCAGCCGCCGCGGUAACACCGGCAGGCCGAUGUGUGGCCGCUAUUAUUUGGGCCUAAAGCGUUCGUAACCGGGUGGGUAAGUCCCUGUGGAAAU